UCCCGGCACACGCAUUGGGCCGCAUGCAUUAUGUGCUUUACACGCGACCUAAGUAAUACGUUAAGUCGUGCAGUGCUGUAAAAUAAUUGCUUAAGUUUGUUACUGGACAUGAGUGAGGCAACGAGUUGUGUGAUGCACCAUCGACUGUUACAGCACUCGUUGUGCCUGGCAGUCCGAUAAGCUGUACACUGUAUUCGCUGUACUAUGGAGUCCGAUGAAUUCUGCAUUAACAUUUACAUAAACGUUAACGGUACCCUUCUACGGUGCCUUGAAUGGGAGUCACUUCUACCGCUAUCUUCGUCCGUUGCUCUAAAUGGGAGUCUUUAUGGAUCCUUUGUUGGAUGAAGCAUUGGCAAUCCUGAGAUGGCCUAGUUUAUCAAUGGGGUAGAGUGCGUAUUGAGGAUGAAGUUUUGAUUACUGAAGAUGGAUGUGUCAACUAGACUAAAAUACCCAGAACAGUCCGAGAAAUUGAAGAUUCGAUUGCCGGUGUUGAUGAUUCCAAAUACGAUUGAAUGAAUUUACAACAAUUCGAAGCUGUUAUUGAUUUCAUUUUUGUUUAUUUUGUUAAUAGUUAUAAAAAGAGCAUUAUAUAAUGGUAUAAUAUUAUCCUGUUUUUAUGCUUGUAUUUUAAAAAAUGCUGUAUAUAUUGAGAAACUGAGUUUGUGAUUCUACAUGUUUGAAUAAAAUUGUUGUUUUAUAUUUUUAACUAUAAA